rnacentral:tRNA from 1 species
GGGCCUUUCGUCUAAUCGGUUAAGGCGCCCAGCUCAUAACUGGGACAAUCCCGGUUCGAGUCCGGGAGGGCCCA